GACUCUCGGCAACGGAUAUCUUGGCUCUCGCAUCGAUGAAGAACGUAGCGAAAUGCGAUACUUGGUGUGAAUUGCAGAAUCCCGUGAACCAUCGAGUUUUUGAACGCAAGUUGCGCCCUAAGCCGUUAGGCUGAGGGCACGUCUGCCUGGGUGUCA
rnacentral:rRNA from 2 species